rnacentral:misc_RNA from 1 species
GCAUGGCAUGUGUUGAUGACAUACCAAUGAGUCGGAUGUUUUAUGAGUGGGUUUUUCCCUCGUGAGAUGAUGGCUAGUUGGUGGUGAUUGAUCUUUCCAAUGGGACGACGCAUGAGUGGUGAUUAGGAUGUGUUUUCAUGCAGGCUCUUCGUAUCAUACGUUGAACUGUGUAGAGCCAUCCGUUUCAGUGAGCCAUUGCUUUGGCUUGUCUAUGCUCGUUGCAAAAUGAUUGGGUGGAUUUUGUUUUACCUACUGGUUUUGGUAUGUGAGAUUGAUGGAAUCCUGUUCUUUUUGCCAUUGGCUUGUCCAGCAAAGGUGGAUGUUGCGUUGGCCUCCUGUGUUCUACUUAAGUUAUACUUCCAUUGGAGGGAUUUGUGUUGGCUCAUGGUUGGCUCUUUAUGUUCUUGGGUAUGUGAAAUAUUUGGUUGUGGUUUGGGUCUUUGACCUAUACAUAUCAUUUCUUGAGCAGUUUGCUUUGUUUUGUAUGACCCUCGUGUGCUUGUUCCUAUGUACUCCAAGCCUUUAGUGCUUGUUGUUCAUCAUGGAGAUGCUGAGGUCUAUGAGGAAUGC